rnacentral:rRNA from 1 species
UACGAAUCGUCCAAACGUUGUUCGGAUUCACUGGGUUUAAAGGGCGCGUAGGCGGUGCGUUAAGUCGGCGGUGAAAUACUUCGGCUCAACCGGAGAAUUGCCGCUGAAACUAGCGUGCUCGAGGAAGGUAGAGGUGCGUGGAACUUCCGGUGGAGCGGUGAAAUGCGUUGAUAUCAUCAGGAACUCCGGUGGCGAAAGCGGCGUGCUGGACCUUUUCUGACGCUGAGGCGCGAAAGCCAGGGGAGCAAACGGG